UACACCUACGACACCAAUAAUUUUUUUUUCAUUUUUUCUCUCACCGUGUAUACUUGUAUCUUCACAAGUAUUUUUAGAAUUACAAACCAGUGUUACUUGACACAAUGGAGGCAUUAAUAAAUAAAUGUUGUCUAAAAUUGUCAUUGUACAAACCCAACAAUGCCCGGGCCCAAUUAAACCUAGAAUAGCCCAACACCUAACCCUAGCCCACUAGCCCAAAGCAGAAACCACUGCAGAAACCCUAGGCUGUUAGCAGCAAGUUCAGCGCCGCAACGGCCUCGCCAAUGCGGCGCCCCUCGCUCCCGCACUUUGCGCGUCAAUCCCGCACAUCGCGCCGUCGCGAAUCUCGGACCUUCCCCACAAGCACGUACCUGCAACAAGCGAAAGAGAAUAGCAAAAGAUCCGGCCAACAAAGAGAAACAGAAGGGAUUUCUUUAGAUUUUGAUUUCAUUUUUUCCCAUUUUUGACUAUUUAAAAGGCCAUUUAGAAAUCUGUAAAGGGGGGAGUGUAAAAAAGAUACGAAAAUAGAGGGACCGAAAGAAAUACAAAGGCACAGAGGAAAUUUUCUUUUUUUUUGAAAUAAAAAGGUUUUCUUUUUUUUGUCGAUUAUCGUUCUUUCAUUUUUUUUCUUCAUUUGUACAUAUAUAUAUAUUUGAUUUUUUUACUUUCGCUAUUUUUUUAUUUAUUUUUGCUUAAAAUAUAAAGAAAGGAAGAGAAAACCUACCUUUUUCGCCGGAAUCGCCGAGUUGGUGCCCCUCUCUGUCGCGAUCGAAGAUCGGGGCAUCGACGGAAGCCUUGGCACGAGGCUGAGCGGUGGCAUAUAAGGGUUGAGGAAACCCUAAAAGGGUCUGGUUUCUCCUUUAGAAAGGGGAACCCAAAAGAACA
rnacentral:lncRNA from 1 species